rnacentral:rRNA from 1 species
CCUACGGGUGGCAGCAGUGGGGAAUAUUGGACAAUGGGCGAAAGCCUGAUCCAGCCAUGCCGCGUGUGUGAAGAAGGCCUUCGGGUUGUAAAGCACUUUCAGUGGGGAAGAAAGCCUUGGGGCUAAUACCCUCGAGGAAGGACAUCACCCACAGAAGAAGCACCGGCUAACUCCGUGCCAGCAGCCGCGGUAAUACGGAGGGUGCGAGCGUUAAUCGGAAUUACUGGGCGUAAAGCGCGCGUAGGCGGUCUGAUAAGCCGGUUGUGAAAGCCCCGGGCUCAACCUGGGAACGGCAUCCGGAACUGUCAGGCUAGAGUGCAGGAGAGGAAGGUAGAAUUCCCGGUGUAGCGGUGAAAUGCGUAGAGAUCGGGAGGAAUACCAGUGGCGAAGGCGGCCUUCUGGACUGACACUGACGCUGAGGUGCGAAAGCGUGGGUAGCAAACAGGAUUAGAUACCCCUGUAGU